rnacentral:rRNA from 1 species
GUAGACCUCGGAUCAGGCAGGGUUACCCGCUAAACUUAAGCAUAUCAAUAAGCGGAGGAAAAGAAACUAACUAGGAUUG